rnacentral:lncRNA from 1 species
GGAGGAUGCUGUGUUUCUGCCCUGGCUACCAGUGUAGCUUUAAGAAGAGCACGAGAAGAGGUAGACCUAAAAGGGAUUAGCUUAAUUCUAAUUGCCUGCAAUUAUGAUUUCAUCAUACACAAACUAUUUACAUAGAGUCAGUUAUGUCUGCUGUAUAAUUUACCAAUUAGUCUUGUUUCCUUGGAUAGUUGGACAUGGGAUCUAGACCUCUCAGAGACUGCACCAAGUGGCAGAAUUACCAGCUGACACAUCAGGACAUUUUUCUCCUCCAAUGUGUUGGGAAAAACUGAACACUUGGCAGUAGUUAUGUCUGAGUCCUUAAAUGUGAUUUACUUAGUGUUUACAAAACCUCAAGAAAGGGUGUGGGGCCUAUUGUUACACCCAUUUGAUAGGUGGAGCACUGAAGAGCAGGUUCUGUAGUUGGCAAGCCAGAUAACUCUGCUGGCAAGCAUUGGAAAGCCUAGCUGGAAUCCAGGUGGGCCUCAUGAGACAGUGGACCUGCAAAGGAGCGUGUGAUAAACGGUUCCUAGCAGUAAACCUACCACAGAGGACCAAGCCCACUCCAGGAGGUAUUAGCACUCAACAGCUAGCUAUGAAAGCCAUGCAAGGACGCCUGCAAACGGACACAUUAGCGUAGCCUACAGUCAUGCAGCACACCGUGGGGAGUCUGCGAGACCAUGUCUGCAAAGGUGGGGUGGCCUUCUGAGGACUAAGGAUGCCUAGUUCUAUUUGUCUGUUCAGUAAGAUUUGCUGAGACAGCUCCUACAAAGACAUCAGUCUCCUCUGUCCCUAGAUGUGUCCCUAGUUUUUGGCAGGAGAUGACGUCUCUUUUAAAAGCUCAACACUGUUAGUGUGAUUUGAGCUCCUGUGAACAUUUGAGCUCCUGUGGUGUCUGUCUGCCUUAGGUUUUCUGAUAAGUCUCACUGGCAGGUUUCUGCUAAGUGGGGAGGGUUUGAAGAGGCGGGGACUCCUACACCUUAGAUAAGAGGGGAUUCAAAAAUGCUGAGCUUGCAGGAAGGAAUUGCAGUCGGAGAGAAGGCUAUGAAGUUCUAAAGAUACGGGCGUGCAAAUGAGACUUUAAAAUAAGACAACUCUAGAGUGCAUGUUUGCCAUUUAAAAGAAUUUAAUGGAAUAAACAAGUUGCAGUUUUUCUAUAGUAGCAUUCCAGGACAGCGUGUUAGCUUGCUGCUCCUCAUACAGUGUGGUUAAUUUGCAGACAAAUAGCGUUCGCAGCCACCUUGCAGACUAUAAAGUUUAUCACAACAGAAUGUUGCUGACAGUGGGAUGUCCUGGGGAGAUGGGGACAGAAAUAGACUGCAGCAAGGAUACAGCUAGGAGAUGGGCGACUUGUGAAUGUGGAAAACCCUGGACCUGCAGGAAUCAUUUGCUUAAGCAACUGUCCUUUUCCCUGUGGCAUAAAUAUGGGCAGAGGUCACCCAGGGGAAGUGCAAUCCAGUUAGGGUGAGGUGAAGGCCAUAGAGACCAGAUUUCCGAGUAGCCACAUGGGUCAGCGCUUCUGUCCAGGAGAUAAUGGGAACUUCAGUGCAUGUCACCUGAAGAUUUCAGAUGUUCCGAUAAAGGGGUGGCCGGGCUCUCUGAUCCUCUACACAUCUGCUUACGUUAACGUUCAGUUCUGUUUCUUGCUCUUUUGGGGAGAGUGGUGAGGUUUUAUGCAUGUCUUGAUGCCAGGGCACUUUUGGUUUAUAUAGACUGCUUUCUGUU